UCUUAUUUAAGGGGAACGUAUGGA
rnacentral:piRNA from 1 species